rnacentral:rRNA from 1 species
UACGAAGGGGGCUAGCGUUGCUCGGAAUGACUGGGCGUAAAGGGCGCGUAGGCGGCUUGCACAGUCAGGCGUGAAAUUCCUGGGCUCAACCUGGGGACUGCGCUUGAGACUUGUGGGCUUGAGUGGGGAAGAGGGUCGUGGAAUUCCCAGUGUAGAGGUGAAAUUCGUAGAUAUUGGGAAGAACACCGGUGGCGAAGGCGGCUAUCUGGACCGUAACUGACGCUGAGGCGCGAAAGCGUGGGGAGCAAACAGG